rnacentral:lncRNA from 1 species
UUGUCGAUGCGAAUGAACAGUCCAGAUCAACGUGAGAUGAUCAUAAAUACUUGCAUCACGAGGGAACCCAAACCCUAGCCACCAGCCCCUCGCCGGAGAAGAAGAACUAAAUGUCGGAGAAAAGACCGAGUGCCGACCGCCGCCGCACUAGAGCCACCGUCGAUUGCCAAAAAAGUAAAAUUUUCUCUUACCUACUCGGAAUUCAAUUCUGAGCCUCCCUGUGGCCAUAUUGGAGUAAGAGAGAUGGCAGGUGAGCCAAAAACUACGAACAAAGCUCGGC